rnacentral:rRNA from 1 species
GAAACCGAGUCUUAAUUGGGCGUUAAGUUGCAGGGUAUAGACCCGAAACCCGGUGAUCUAGCCAUGGGCAGGUUGAAGGUUGGGUAACACUAACUGGAGGACCGAACCGACUAAUGUUGAAAAAUUAGCGGAUGACCUGUGGCUGGGGGUGAAAGGCCAAUCAAACCGGGAGAUAGCUGGUUCUCCCCGAAAGCUAUUUAGGUAGCGCCUCGUGAAUUCAUCUCCGGGGGUAGAGCACUGUUUCGGCUAGGGGGCCAUCCCGGCUUACCAACCCGAUGCAAACUGCGAAUACCGGAGAAUGUUAUCACGGGAGACACACGGCGGGUGCUAACGUCCGUCGUGAAGAGGGAAACAACCCAGACCGCCAGCUAAGGUCCCAAAGUCAUGGUUAAGUGGGAAACGAUGUGGGAAGGCCCAGACAGCCAGGAUGUUGGCUUAGAAGCAGCCAUCAUUUAAAGAAAGCGUAAUAGCUCACUGGUCGAGUCGGCCUGCGCGGAAGAUGUAACGGGGCUAAACCAUGCACCGAAGCUGCGGCAGCGACACUGUGUGUUGUUGGGUAGGGGAGCGUUCUGUAAGCCUGUGAAGGUGGCCUGUGAGGGUUGCUGGAGGUAUCAGAAGUGCGAAUGCUGACAUAAGUAACGAUAAAGCGGGUGAAAAGCCCGCUCGCCGGAAGACCAAGGGUUCCUGUCCAACGUUAAUCGGGGCAGGGUGAGUCGACCCCUAAGGCGAGGCCGAAAGGCGUAGUCGAUGGGAAACGGGUUAAUAUUCCCGUACUUGGUGUUACUGCGAAGGGGGGACGGAGAAGGCUAUGUUGGCCGGGCGACGGUUGUCCCGGUUUAAGCGUGUAGGUGUGUGUUCCAGGUAAAUCCGGUUCACUUUAACACUGAGGCGUGACGACGAGGCACUACGGUGCUGAAGCAACAAAUGCCCUGCUUCCAGGAAAAGCCUCUAAGCAUCAGGUAACAUCAAAUCGUACCCCAAACCGACACAGGUGGUCAGGUAGAGAAUACCAAGGCGCUUGAGAGAACUCGGGUGAAGGAACUAGGCAAAAUGGUGCCGUAACUUCGGGAGAAGGCACGCUGACACGUAGGUGAAGUGAUUUACUCAUGGAGCUGAAGUCAGUCGAAGAUACCAGCUGGCUGCAACUGUUUAUUAAAAACACAGCACUGUGCAAACACGAAAGUGGACGUAUACGGUGUGACGCCUGCCCGGUGCCGGAAGGUUAAUUGAUGGGGUCAGCGCAAGCGAAGCUCCUGAUCGAAGCCCCGGUAAACGGCGGCCGUAACUAUAACGGUCCUAAGGUAGCGAAAUUCCUUGUCGGGUAAGUUCCGACCUGCACGAAUGGCGUAAUGAUGGCCAGGCUGUCUCCACCCGAGACUCAGUGAAAUUGAACUCGCUGUGAAGAUGCAGUGUACCCGCGGCAAGACGGAAAGACCCCGUGAACCUUUACUAUAGCUUGACACUGAACAUUGAGCCUUGAUGUGUAGGAUAGGUGGGAGGCUUUGAAGUGUGGACGCCAGUCUGCAUGGAGCCGACCUUGAAAUACCACCCUUUAAUGUUUGAUGUUCUAACGUGGACCCGUAAUCCGGGUUGCGGACAGUGUCUGGUGGGUAGUUUGACUGGGGCGGUCUCCUCCUAAAGAGUAACGGAGGAGCACGAAGGUUGGCUAAUCCUGGUCGGACAUCAGGAGGUUAGUGCAAUGGCAUAAGCCAGCUUGACUGCGAGCGUGACGGCGCGAGCAGGUGCGAAAGCAGGUCAUAGUGAUCCGGUGGUUCUGAAUGGAAGGGCCAUCGCUCAACGGAUAAAAGGUACUCCGGGGAUAACAGGCUGAUACCGCCCAAGAGUUCAUAUCGACGGCGGUGUUUGGCACCUCGAUGUCGGCUCAUCACAUCCUGGGGCUGAAGUAGGUCCCAAGGGUAUGGCUGUUCGCCAUUUAAAGUGGUACGCGAGCUGGGUUUAGAACGUCGUGAGACAGUUCGGUCCCUAUCUGCCGUGGGCGCUGGAGAACUGAGGGGGGCUGCUCCUAGUACGAGAGGACCGGAGUGGACGCAUCACUGGUGUUCGGGUUGUCAUGCCAAUGGCACUGCCCGGUAGCUAAAUGCGGAAGAGAUAAGUGCUGAAAGCAUCUAAGCACGAAACUUGCCCCGAGAUGAGUUCUCCCUGAGACUUUAAGUCUCCUGAAGGAACGUUGAAGACGACGACGUUGAUAGGCCGGGUGUGUAAGCGCAGCGAUGCGUUGAGCUAACCGGUACUAAUGAACCGUGAGGCUUAACCUUACAAC